AAACCAACCGGGAUUGCCCCAGUAACGGCGAGCGAAGCGGCAAAAGUCCAAAUUUGAAAUCUGGCGUCCUACGGGCGUCCGAGUUGUAAUUUGAAGAUGGUAACUUUGGGUUUGGCUCUUGCAUAAGUUCCUUGGAACAGGACGUCAUAGAGGGUGAGAAUCCCGUUCAUGGUAAGAUGCCCAUUCCUUUGUAAAGUGCCUUCGAAGAGUCGAGUUGUUUGGGAAUGCAGCUCUAAGUGGGUGGUAAAUUCCAUCUAAGACUAAAUAUUGGCGAGAGACCGAUAGCGAACAAGUACAGUGAUGGAAAGAUGAAAAGAACUUUGAAAAGAGAGUGAAAAAGUACGUGAAAUUGUUGAAAGGGAAGGGCUUGAAGUCAGACUUUGUAUUCAGUGAUCAACUGUCUUUCGGGACUGUGCACUCGCUGUUUACUGGGCCAACAUCGGUUUUGGCGGCGAGAUAAAUGCAUUGGAACGUGGCUCUAUCUUCGGAUGGAGUGUUAUAGCCUUUGUAAAUAUCGCCUGCUGGGACCGAGGACUGCGCAUCUGCUAGGAUGUUGGCGUAAUGACUUUAAGCCACCCGUCUUGAAACACGGACCAAGGAGUCUAACGUCUAUG
rnacentral:rRNA from 1 species